GCGGUUUCUCUAAGUCUCGAUGUGAAAGCCCACGGCUCAACCGGGGAGGGUCAUUGGAAACUGGGAAACUUGAGUGCAGAAGAGGAGAGUGGAAUUCCAUGUGUAGCGGUGAAAUGCGCAGAUAUAUGGAGGAACACCAGUGGCGAAGGCGGCUCUCUGGUCUGUAACUGACGCUGAUGUGCGAAAGCGUGGGGAGCAAACAGGAUUAGAUAC
rnacentral:rRNA from 1 species